GUUCGCCUCUUUUUGCUUCCAAAGGUUUUAUUUUUUUAUCAUCUAUAGGUUUGAUUUGGUUAUGUCCAACGUACAGCAUCAAAUGCUCUUGUGUAUAAAUGUGACUAAGUAAAUGGUAGGAGUGAGAAAGAAAAGGGGGAGACCUAAAAUGAUAUGAAGGGAAGUAGUAUUAAAAGAUCUACAAUUUGUAGACAUUGAUGCAAAAACCAAACAGAGUUGAAUGGUGAAAAA
rnacentral:misc_RNA from 1 species